AAAAUGACUCUCGGCAACGGAUAUCUCGACUCUCGCAUCGAUGAAGAACGUAGCGAAAUGCGAUACUUGGUGUGAAUUGCAGAAUCCCGUGAACCAUCGAGUCUUUGAACGCAAGUUGCGCCCCAAGCCGUUAGGCCGAGGGCACGCCUGCCUGGGUGUCACGC
rnacentral:rRNA from 1 species